rnacentral:rRNA from 1 species
AACGAACGCUGGCGGCAGGCUUAACACAUGCAAGUCGAACGCUGUAGCAAUACAGAGUGGCGCACGGGUGAGUAACGCGUGGGAACGUGCCUUGAAGUAAGGAAUAACGUCGGGAAACUGACGCUAAUACCUUAUACGCCCUUAGGGGGAAAGAUUUAUCGCUUCAAGAUCGGCCCGCGUUAGAUUAGCUAGUUGGUGAGGUAAUGGCCCACCAAGGCUCCGAUCUAUAGCUGGUCUAAGAGGAUGAUCGGCCACACUGGAACUGAGAACACGGUCCAGACUCCUACGGGAGGCAGCAGUGGGGAAUAUUGGACAAUGGGGGAAACCCUGAUCCAGCCAUGCCGCGUGAGUGAUGAAGGCCUUAGGGUUGUAAAGCUCUUUUGUGGGGGAAGAUGAUGACGGUACCCCAAGAAUAAGCACCGGCUAACUUCGUGCCAGCAGCCGCCGUAAGAC